AAAAAAUCUUUUUUUUGCAAAUUAUCUUAAGAUUAUAUAAAAAAAAGUGUGGUAAAUAAUGUCUGUCUUAUCAAUUGAUAUGAAUGUAACUUUUUUUUUUAAUUUUAGUUAUGUAAUGUUUUUGUUAGAUUUUAGUUUUUUUUAGUUUUUUGUCUUUUCAUAUUUUGUUUUACUCUUUUCAAAAUUAGUUUAUAUUAAAAUUAUUGUUUAUAAUACUUUAAUUUCUCUAACAUUAUGAUAUAGA
rnacentral:lncRNA from 1 species